AGAGUUUGAUUAUGGCUCAGGCCCUUCAAUGGCGGCGCGCCUAACACAUGCAAGUCGAACGGCCCUUAUAUUUCAGAAGUUUUCGGAUGGACGAGAGAUAAGCUUAGUGGCGGACGGGUGAGUAACACGUGAGCAACCUGCCUUUCAGAGGGGGAUAACAGUUGGAAACGACUGCUAAUACCGCAUAACGCUGCGAUGGGGCAUCCCGAUGCAGCCAAAGGAGCAAUCCGCUGAAAGAUGGGCUCGCGGCCGAUUAGCUAGUUGGUGGGGCAACGGCCCACCAAGGCGACGAUCGGUAGCCGGACUGAGAGGUUGAUCGGCCACAUUGGGACUGAGACACGGCCCAGACUCCUACGGGAGGCAGCAGUGGGGGAUAUUGCACAAUGGAGGAAACUCUGAUGCAUCGACGCCGCGUGAGGGAAGACGGUCUUCGGAUUGUAAACCUCUGUCUUUGGGGAAGAAAAUGACGGUACCCAUAGAGGAAGCUCCGGCUAACUACGUGCCAGCAGCCGCGGUAAUACGUAGGGAGCGAGCGUUGUCCGGAAUUACUGGGUGUAUAGGGAGCGUAUGCGGGCGAGAACGUUGAAUGUUAUAUCUACCGGCUUAUCUGGUAGCUGCGUUCAAAACUUCUUGUCUUGAGUGAAGUAGAGGCAGGCGGAUUUCCUACUGUAUUGGUGAAAUGCGUACAUUUUACGAC
rnacentral:rRNA from 1 species